UUUUCCACUUUCUGCAUUGUACUCAUUUAUCUUCCAAACCCGUUUUGUCUCUUUCGGGGUCACGGAGCUCUUAUCCCGGUCACUGGUGGGCAAAGGCAGGGCUCACCCUGGACAGGUCGCCAGUCUGACGCCACAAUCACACUCCCAAACACAAAUAUGGAUAAUUUUGAGUGACCAAUCAACCUGUAAAGCAUAUUUUUUGGACAGUGGGAGGAAGCUAGAGUCCCCAGAGACAACCCAUGCAUGCAAACUCCACAUGGAAGGAUCCCCCACUGGUGGAUCCCCCACCCCAGGCUUUGAACCGGAGCCUUUUUGCUGUGAGGCAAGAGCGCUGACUUCGGCGCUGCCGUGCAGAUUUAGAGGAUUUGAUUUUUUUUAAAACUUCUAAUCAUUUGUUGUUCCUAAAGUGCACUGAACUCUUGAGCUUCUGGGAAUCUUAAGUUGAGCUCAUAACAUGUCAUUUCCCUUGAGCUUUUUUUCCCACCCUCCUUCAAUCCCGUUUUUAAUUUAGUCAACUAUCCAAAGCUGCUCUUUGCAAUCAAGGCCUAAGCACUUGUAGAAAUGGCUUCAGGAAGAUGAUUAAAGGCCUCACGAGAGACGACAAUUUUUAUGUCAAGAACAACCAAAGGGUGCUUUUCUACUGCAUGAAUGAGGCCGAGCUGGUCGAAGCAGCUGUUCGGUGUCUAACCAGCAGUUCCCCAAUUUACCAACAGAUUUCUAAAAAGGCAAGCAACGCAAGAGAAAAAGUAAAGAAACCUUUGACGUCACCCAAAAGAUUAAAGCAGAUUUCAGAGGAAAAAGACUGGGACUGCUGCGAUUACCCGGAGACGACCUAUGUUUCUGAGACGGACUUGGACGUCACAGAAGUGGAGACGCUGCCGUACACCAGGAGCCCUGAGGCUGAGAGGUCACACCAGAAUCAACGGACUGUGAGGAACGCCGAUGCUGAAGCUGAGGGAGAACAGGAGAAACCAACAGAGGAUGCAGCACAUCAAGAGGACGAGGCGUUACAACUUGUGCGGGACAUUUUUUUCACCUGAUCACUGUUGUUGUAAAUAGAAUUUCUUUAAGGUAAAAGUAAAGUAAAAUCCUCAACAUGUCAUGAAAAUAUUGAGGUAAUCUUAAUGUAAAGACAGCUAUUUCACAUUAAAGUUUAAGUUUAAAAAAUAUCUUACUAUCGGAAUUGUCUUCAAACUUAAAAUACAAUAAAACUCCAGACUUCCUGUAGUUUUAAAUGAUUCUUCUUUAUUAACUUGGCUUGUUUCCUAAUGGUCAUGCCAUACAAAACCUCAUGGGAUCUCAAGAGGUUAUUGCAGAAAAACCUCCCUUCAGAUAAAAGCAUAUUGGUACAUUUUUAGUUUGUGAAAAAUGAAAGUCAUGGCAGCUGUGAUGACCCUAAUGACUCAGAUACUUUAUAAUAAAGAACAUUUGCCAUUAUUGGCCUCCUGUUGUGUGAAAAAAAACAGCCUUUAUCAAAAUGUUCAUAUUUAAGUAGGUUGGAUCAACAUAAAUAUUUGUUUAGUCAAGUGUAAGUCAGGGGGAAACGGUUGUACAUAUAAUGAAACUAUUAUGAAAAAGCCUUUUACUAAGGUGGUAUUUGUUGUGGUUAUAACACGAAGGCCCUCCUUCAUUAAUAACACAGAAUGGACAGUCACAACAAAUCAUUAGUUAGCAGUCUGAUACUAUGUGUGGGAACCAGAUCUACAAUUAAAAAAAAGGCCAAGCAUGGAUACAAAAGACCAAACUGAGAACAAACAUCUGCUCCACCAGGAGAGCUUCAGUGUCACCCACUGCGGGGCAGUUCAUGACGACCACACCACUAAAGUGUUUAUAGGAACAUCUAUGUAAAAUCUUGAGAGCCCUGCUAUAAAUACCCAGCUUUAAAAAAAAAAGCAGCUGAAACACUACAUUAAACAUAUGUAAUAAGAUUUUAUUUAAAAACUGUUUUUAAAAAAUUAAACGAUAUCCCCACUUAAGUGAACAAACAUGGAAGAGAGUCAGAGCUGGAUGAAUUGGGAGGGUAAGAAGUUUUCUGCUGUUCAUUCACUUUUG
rnacentral:lncRNA from 1 species